rnacentral:lncRNA from 1 species
AGCAUCUCUGUACCAGUCACACUGGCCUUAUAGAACAAAUGAGUGACCUGAGAUAUUACAGCUUGUAAGAGGUGAAGGCUAUACAGGAAGCAUGAUGCUGGUGUCUGCUCAGCUUCUGGGGAGAACUCAGGAAACUUACAAUCAUGGCAGAAGGCAAAGAGGAAGCAAGUGCAUCUUACAUGGCUGGAGCAAGAUCGUGAGAGAGUGGGGAGGUGCUGCACACUUUUAAACAACCAAAUCUCGUUGUUUUGCCACAACACCAUCAAGGAGAAUGAUGUUAAACCAUGAGAAACCACCCCUAGACCCACCAGGCCCUACCUCCAACACUGGGGAUUACAGUUUGACAGGAGAUUUGGGUGGGGACACAGAUCCAAGCCAUAUCAUUACAUAUUUCUUUAUUUCUGUUUGUAUAAACUCUGGUUUUCUAUUUUAUUAAAUAAAUUAAAAUCCAUUACUAUUAUUGUCUAUUCUGAUACUCAAAUUGGCAAAGAUUUGACCAGGGCCAGCUCCUUUGUGCUGGCUUCUUUGUCCUCUUGACAUGUCUUUACUCUUUGAUACUUAUUUUAUGGCAUAACGGAAGAUUCAGACUCAACUCUUAGUUUUUUUGCCCCAUGCCUGGAAUCAAAUAUUUCUACUAGGAACCUUGGUUCUUUUAAAAGGAAAAUGUUUUUUAGUAUGCAAAAUCUGGUUACACUCAUGACUAUGUAUGCAACACUGCUUCCAGGCUCUCUCAAUGGAUAGGACUAGGGAAUAUAUGCAAGUUCACAAACACACACACACACACACUCACUUGCAUCUAUAUUUAUAACUCUCUCCAUAUAUACUGGAAACCAUAAGUUCACACUGAAAUUUCCAAUUCCAAUCUAACACCACAGAGUUCAUUCUAGUUUUCUCUAUUUCUAGAUUUGUAACUCCCUUCUCUGACAGUGAAAAACAGGCUCCCAUUAUUCUAAAUAUUUUUACUUAUUUGAUGAAUUUUCCUGUAUGUAACUGAUCUCAUUCCUGCCACUGCCCUCUUCCCCCAAGAAUAUCCUUCUGCUAAGGUAUAGCAAAGAUUAUGUGCUGGAAACUUAAUGCCCAAUGCAAUAGUGUUGAGAGGUGGGAUGUUUAUGAGGUGAUUAAGUCAUGAGGGCUCUUCCCUCAUGAAUGAAUUAAUGCUGAUAUAAUGAGAAUGGGUUCUUGAGAAGAAGGAUGAGUCUGGUCUCCUUCCUCUCGUUCUUUCCCUCUGUUGCCUUUCUAUCUUCUGCUAUGGGAUGACACAGCAUGAAGGCCCUCCCUAUAUGCCAGUGCCAUGCUCUUGGACUUUCCAGUCUUCAGAAUUUUAAGCCAAAUAAACUUAUACUGUUUAUAAAUUACUCAGUGUGUGGCAUUCUGUUAUAUCACCACAAAAUGAAUGAAGAUACCUCCUUAACACCACUCACAG